UCGAGAGUAUUGCAAGUCCUGGUGCUUGUAGUAGGGUGAUAUGUAAAUUCAGCAAUCCACUGGCGGAGUAAUUUGCGUAUAAGGACUACGUGUUGUGCGGUUAUACGCCGCUUACACCCCGAGCUACGUUUCCGUUAGUUAUCUACAUCAGUUUGUAUGGGGACCGAGCGGUAUUCUGUCUGAUAGGAGUAUAUUCUGACAGGAGAAUACAUUCGCUUCUUUCUGGUACAUUCAUUUCAGUGAUUGCUUUUUCC
ncrna:unclassified sequences RT-7 RNA